CAACAGAUCAAUUUCUUUACGAAUCUAUAAGCACUAGUGGCCAAUCCUCCUGGAUAAUCUUCAUGUUUAGUAAAUAGAUGGAUAUCUUUCUCUUAGACAUCGAUACAAUCCUCCAGAAUGCCAGUUGUCUUGCCUGCUUGUCACAGAGUACUCAAGGAGGUUUGUAGAAGGUUGCCGGGUUUUUCACCC